AGAGUUUGAUCCUGGCUCAGGACGAACGCUGACGGUGUGCUUUAGACAUGCAAGUCGAACGAGAACGCCCUUCGGGGUUAGUAAAGUGGCGAACGGGUGAGUAACACGUGGGCAAUCUGCCCCUCGCAGGGGGAUAACUGGAGGAAACUCCAGCUAAUACCCCGUACGCUUCACGGAUCGCAUGAUCCAUGAAGGAAAGGUAGCUUCGGCCAUCCGGCGAGGGAUGAGCCCGCGUUCCAUUAGCUUGUUGGUGGGGUAAUGGCCUACCAAGGCUACGAUGGAUAGCUGGUCUGAGAGGAUGAUCAGCCACACUGGGACUGAGACACUGCCCAGACUCCUACGGGAGGCUGCAGUCGAGAAUCUUCGGCAAUGGGCGCAAGCCUGACCGAGCGACGCCGCGUGGAGGACGAAGGCCUUCGGGUUGUAAACUCCUGUCGAGGGGGAGGAACGCUCCGCGAGGAGCUUGACCGAUCCCUGGAGGAAGCACGGGCUAAGUUCGUGCCAGCAGCCGCGGUAAGACGAACCGUGCGGACGUUAUUCGGAAUCACUGGGCUUAAAGCGCGUGUAGGCGGGCCGGCACGUCCGUGGCUGAAAGCCCCCGGCUCAACCGGGGAAGUGGCGCGGAUACGGCCGGCCUGGAGGGGGGUAGGGGGGCCUGGAACUUCCGGUGGAGCGGUGAAAUGCGUUGAGAUCGGAAGGAACGCCCGUGGCGAAAGCGAGGCCCUGGACCCUUUCUGACGCUGAGACGCGAAAGCCAGGGGAGCGAACGGGAUUAGAUACCCCGGUAGUCCUGGCCGUAAACGAUGAGCACUGGGUAGGGGGCUCGCCGAUGGGCUCCCUGCCGCAGGGAAACCGUGAAGUG
rnacentral:rRNA from 1 species